rnacentral:rRNA from 1 species
UACGUAGGAGGCAAGCGUUUUCCGGAAUUACUGGGCGUAAAGCGCGUGUAGGUGGUGGGACAAGUCUGCUGUGAAAGCGCCUGGCUUAACCGGGCGAGGUCGGCGGAAACUGUCCGACUCGAGGACGGUAGAGGGGGGUGGAAUUCCCGGUGUAGUGGUGAAAUGCGUAGAGAUCGGGAGGAACACCUGUGGCGAAGGCGGCCCCCUGGGCCGGCCCUGACACUGAGACGCGAAGGCGUGGGGAGCGAACGGG